rnacentral:misc_RNA from 1 species
GAUGAAGAACGCAGCGAAAUGCGAUAAGUAAUGUGAAUUGCAGAAUUCAGUGAAUCAUCGAAUCUUUGAACGCACAUUGCGCCCGCCAGUAUUCUGGCGGGCAUGCCUGUCUGAGCGUCAUUUCAACCCUCAGCCCCCGCUCGCGGGGCGCUGGCGUUGGGGAUCGGCCGUCCUCGCGGCGGCCGGCCCCGAAACACAGUGGCGGUCUCUCGCGGACUCCCCUGCGUAGUAGCACUACCUCGCAGAAGGGACGAGCGGUCUGACCACGCCGUAAAACCCCCCACUUCUCCAGGUUGACCUCAGAUCAGGUAGGAAUACCCGCUGAACUUAAGCAUAUCAAUAAGCGGAGGA